UAGAACGUUCUUCUAACCGCAUUGUCCUCGGCUGGUCUCCCAAGAGGAAGUGGCUGGGUCCCUGGGGGAGAGGACACAGGCCUCAACUCAAGGACAGACCAAAGAGCAAGGCCAGAGUAAACUCUCAGCCUACUGAGGGGCCGAGAGUGGUGCAGGGAGGGGUCUCACUAUGUAGCUCAGGCUGGCCUCGAACUCAUGGCAAUUCUGCUGCCUCAGACUCCUGAGUGCUGAGAUUACAGGGGUGCACCACCACACCCGGCAUGAGAGGAGCACUGUAGCAAGUGGGCCCACACAUACCUGAGCCAGAGAAACCACAGCGGAGCUACUCAGGAGGCUGAGGCAGGAGGACUUUGAGUUCGAGGCCUGUUUGCACAACUUAGAGAGAUCCUGUCCGUGAGCUUAUUGAAAGGGACGUGAUCUGGCCUUUUCUAGAAAUCUAAUCCUUCCCAGAUGGAGUCCAGUUCUCUCACCCCAGCCCCCUGCAAGGCAGGGCUCCAGAAAGCAGGAGGGUUUUGUCUGCCAGAUCUGAGACUCAGCUGUCACUCACCAUUGAGGGGAUGUGAGGGGUGGAUCGCCUUCCUGAACCUCGGUUUCCCCAAAGAUCCAUGAGCCAACAAACACAGUACUGGCGGAUUGAACCAAGGGCCUUCACACAGCUACAUUCUCCGACCUUUUUUAUUCUUUAUUUUGAGACGGAGUGUAAGAAGAUAAAUUACCCAGGCUGGGCAAAAAUUUAUGAUCCUUCUGCCUCAUCCUCCCAGAGUACUGAGAUUACAGGCAUGGACUACCACACCCAGCUGGUCUCUUCUAAAGGGAAAGAAACAAGGAAGCUCUGAGACUCAGCCAUGUCUCUUCAAUGGUUUUGGAGAAAGCCCUGGCCUCUCCCUAUGGGGGAAGACGGUAGCUCUAAGACAGUGAAAAGCCUUGGAGAUGCCCACCCUGGGCCAACAAAGGGGAUUAACAUCACAGUGGCACUUCAGCAGAGGCCUGAGGUGAUAUCAGAGUGUGCUCUGUCCAGAGCAGUCAGUGAUUGGGCUUCCAGCUCCAGGCUAACCAUGAGAAAAACAGCAGACAAGUCUCAACUCCAGGACAGCUGCAAAACACCUGACCAGCGCUCCUCGAAACUGUCCAAAACAAGGAAAGUCUGAGAAACUGUCAGAAUCAAGGUAAUAUGAUGACUAAAUGUAAGUCAUAUCUUAGAAUAGAAAAAGGGCAUUAAGUAAAACCUCAGGAAAUGUGGACAAGGUAUGGAUUUACAUUUCAGUAACACUGUUUGUGUUUUUUGUGGUUUUUUUUGGUAGCUGGGAUCGAACUCGGGUCCUUGCAUUUGCAUAGCAGGCGGUGAAACCACUAAGCUAAAUCCCCAGCCCUUCAGUAACAUUGUUAAUAAUAUUAUAAAGCCUAUAGUAACAUAUCAGUAUUGUUUAUUAAACAAUGGCAGAUGUAAUACCAGUGUGAGAUGUUAAUAAUAGGGGAAAUUGGGUAUGGGAACUCUCCAU
rnacentral:lncRNA from 1 species